rnacentral:rRNA from 1 species
GCCGCGGUAAUACGUAGGGUGCGAGCGUUAAUCGGAAUUACUGGGCGUAAAGCGUGCGCAGGCGGUUUUGUAAGACAGCUGUGAAAUCCCCGGGCUCAACCUGGGAACUGCGGUUGUGACUGCAAGGCUUGAGUACGGCAGAGGGGGGUGGAAUUCCACGUGUAGCAGUGAAAUGCGUAGAUAUGUGGAGGAACACCAAUGGCGAAGGCACGCCCCCUGGGUCGAUGACUGACGCUCAUGCACGAAAGCGUGGGGAGCAAACAGGAUUAGAUACCCUGGUAGUCCACGCCCUAAACGAUGCCAACUSGGUGUUGGGGAAGGAGACUUCCUUAGUACCGAA